rnacentral:rRNA from 1 species
UGCGCAGGCGGGCCUGCAAGUCAGUGGUGAAAUCCCGGGGCUCAACUCCGGAACUGCCAUUGAUACUACAGGUCUUGAGUUUGGUUGAAGUGGGCGGAAUGUAGCAUGUAGCGGUGAAAUGCAUAGAUAUGCUACAGAACACCGAUCGCGAAGGCAGCUCACUAAACCAAAACUGACGCUCAGGCACGAAAGCGUGGGUAGCGAACAGGAUUAGAUACCCUGGUAGUCC